GACGAACGCUGGCGGCGUGCCUAACACAUGCAAGUCGAACGGGGAGUUAGCAAUAACUCCUAGUGGCGAACGGGUGAGUAACGCGUAGACAACCUGCCUCUAAACUGGGGACAACACCGCGAAAGUGGUGCUAAUACCGAAUGUGGUAACUUGAUCGCAUGAUCGAGUUAAGAAAGAUGGCCUCUAUUUAUAAGCUAUCGAUUAGAGAUGGGUCUGCGUCUGAUUAGCUAGUUGGUGAGGUAAUGGCUCACCAAGGCGACGAUCAGUAGCCGGUCUGAGAGGAUGAAGGGCCACACUGGGACUGAGACACGGCCCAGACUCCGACGGGAGGCAGCAGUGGGGAAUCUUCCGCAAUGGACGAAAGUCUGACGGAGCAACGCCGCGUGAGUGAAGAAGGUCUUCGGAUUGUAAAGCUCUGUCGUUUGGGACGAACGUGGGUAGUGUGAAUAAUGCUAGCUAAUGACGGUACCAAAGGAGGAAGCCACGGCUAUCUACGUGCCAGCAGCAGCCGUAA
rnacentral:rRNA from 1 species